rnacentral:rRNA from 1 species
ACACGACUACAUUAGAUACCCCGGUAGUCCUAGCCGUAAACGAUACUCGCUAGGUGUCGGCCACGGUGCGACCGUUGUCGGUGCCGUAGGGAAGCCGUGAAGCGAGCCACCUGGGAAGUACGGCCGCAAGGCUGAAACUUAAAGGAAUUGGCGGGGGAGCACAACAACGGGUGGAGCUUGCGGUUUAAUUGGAUUCAACGCCGGAAAUCUUACCGGGACCGACAGCAACAUGAAGGCCAUGCUGAAGACUUUGCCGGAUUAGCUG